CCCCAUCUCUAAAGGAAGUGCCCAAGGAGCAUAUAGUAGGCUGAACUUCUUGUUGUCUCUCCUAAGGUGUUCCUUCUAAUGGGCCCUGCUCAGGCAUCUAAUCUCAGUGUCCCAAACCUUUCAGGCAGGAAACGGUGCUACAGUGGAUCAGGGUAUCAAGGCAGUUGCUGAGACUGGCCUUGAGGAUCCUGAAGCAGCAGGCUGUACACAUACACCCAGAGGUGCUCGAGUGGUUCAAUGGUAGAAUUCUCAUCUGCCAAAUACACCACACAGCUAGGCCACCAGUCAUCCAGAAAGCUCAUCUCAACUCCUUUGAAGGAAUCUGGGCCAAGAUGGUGCUUGGGCUCCAUCACCACUGGGAGCUGGGGAGCAGUUUGGAUCCCACAAGAAGGCUAGCUGGAGCAAGCCGCCUCGGUCCAGGCUGCAUAUCUCAUAAAGCUGUUCCCAAGGCAAGAACCAUCUGUACCUCCUUUGUUGUCCUUUGUCCUUUAUUUUCCCUGUCAAAGACACCCCCAACACACACACAACACACACCCAUGGCAAAGAACAGCUGAGCCAGGAGAAGCUGAAGAAAACAGCUUUUUAUUUGUUACUAUAAGAACCAAUUACAGAAUCCGAGGUUAAAAAAACGGACAAAAGAUCUUUAUUUCUGAGAACUGGCGUACAAAAGGCGGAGGGGGAGGGGAGGGAAGGAAAGAGCGAGCAUGGCCUGGGGUUGAUGCCAGCUUAGGGGCCUCAAACUCCAAUUAGGAUAGUCCGGACACCGGACAGAAAGAGAAACCCCCAAUUAGGAAAAAAAAAAAAGACAUGGCAGUGCACGCCCCCCUCCCCCAACCAGGUACCACCACCUGUUAUCUGUUUACUCUUCCCCUCCCCAUCCCCUUUCACAAAGGGAGGCAAAAUUUUUAAAAAAU